GACGAACGCUGGCGGCGUGCUUAACACAUGCAAGUCGAACGCUGAAGCUUGGUGCUUGCACUGGGUGGCUGAGUGGCGAACGGGUGAGUAAUACGUGAGUAACCUGCCCUUGACUCUGGGAUAAGCCUGGGAAACUGGGUCUAAUACUGGAUAUGACAUGCCACUGCAUGGUGGUGUGUGGAAAGGGUUUUACUGGUUUUGGAUGGGCUCACGGCCUAUCAGCUUGUUGGUGGGGUAAUGGCCUACCAAGGCGACGACGGGUAGCCGGCCUGAGAGGGUGACCGGCCACACUGGGACUGAGACACGGCCCAGACUCCUACGGGAGGCAGCAGUGGGGAAUAUUGCACAAUGGGCGGAAGCCUGAUGCAGCGACGCCGCGUGAGGGAUGACGGCCUUCGGGUUGUAAACCUCUUUCAGCACGGAAGAAGCGAGAGUGACGGUACGUGCAGAAGAAGCGCCGGCUAACUACGU
rnacentral:rRNA from 1 species